CCUACGGGUGGCUGCAGUGGGGAAUUUUGGACAAUGGGCGAAAGCCUGAUCCAGCCAUGCCGCGUGAGUGAAGAAGGCCUUCGGGUUGUAAAGCUCUUUUAGUCGGAAAGAAAAGAUCAUAACGAAUAAUUAUGAUUCAUGACGGUACCGACAGAAAAAGCACCGGCUAACUACGUGCCAGCAGCCGCGGUAAUACGUAGGGUGCGAGCGUUAAUCGGGGUUACUGGGCGUGUUUGGUGCGUCAGCUGUGAAAUCCCCGGGCUUAACCUGGGAAUUGCGUUUGAAACUAUAAGACUAGAGUGCAGCAGAGGGGAGUGGAAUUCCAUGUGUAGCAGUGAAAUGCGUAGAGAUGUGGAAGAACACCGAUGGCGAAGGCAGCUCCCUGGGUUGACACUGACGCUCAUGCACGAAAGCGUGGGGAGCAAACAGGAUUAGAUACCCCGGUAGUC
rnacentral:rRNA from 1 species